rnacentral:rRNA from 1 species
GACGGUCUUGCUGUCACUUAUAGAUGGAUCCGCGCUGCAUUAGCUAGUUGGUAAGGUAACGGCUUACCAAGGCAACGAUGCAUAGCCGACCUGAGAGGGUGAUCGGCCACACUGGAACUGAGACACGGUCCAGACUCCUACGGGAGGCAGCAGUAGGGAAUCUUCCGCAAUGGGCGAAAGCCUGACGGAGCAACGCCGCGUGAGUGAUGAAGGUCUUCGGAUCGUAAAACUCUGUUAUUAGGGAAGAACAUAUGUGUAAGUAACUGUGCACAUCUUGACGGUACCUAAUCAGAAAGCCACGGCUAACUACGUGCCAGCAGCCGCGGUAAUACGUAGGUGGCAAGCGUUAUCCGGAAUUAUUGGGCGUAAAGCGCGCGUAGGCGGUUUUUU